GGUCCCGGCACCUCACGGCCGUCUCCCGGCUGGUCCGGGGGUCCCGGCACCUCAGGGCCGUCUCCCGGCUGGUCGGGGGUCCGGGCACCUCACGGCCGUCUCCCGGCUGGUCGGGGGUCCGGGCACCUCACGGCCGUCUCCCGGCUGGUCGGGGGUCCGGCACCGCCUCGACGCUGGCUCCCCUGGACGCGCAGACCCGACCGCAGCCGUAUCCGAAGCGGACGGCCUCAUGAGGCACCUGCCGUACUUCUGCUGGGGCCAAGUGGUGCGGGGCUUCGGCCGCGGCUCCAAGCAGCUGGGCAUCCUCACAGCUAAUUUUCCUAAACAAGUAGUAGGUAAUCUUCCAGCUGACGUAUCCACUGGCUUUUAUUAUGGUUGGGCCAGGGUUGGAAGUGGAGAUGUCCACAAGAUGGUGGUGAGCAUAGGAUGGAACCCGUACUACAAGAAUACAAAAAAGUCCAUGGAAACUCAUAUCAUGCAUACCUUCAAAGAGGAUUUCUAUGGGGAAAUCCUCAGUGUGGUCAUCGUUGGCUACCUCAGACCAGAAAAGAACUUUGAUUCUUUAGAGUCACUUAUUUCAGCAAUUCGUGGUGAUAUUGAAGAAGCUAAGAAACGACUAGAUCUACCAGAACAUUUGAAACUCAAAGAAGACAAUUUCUUCUGGGUUCCUAAAAGCGAAAUACUGAAUGGCUAUUAACGGAAAAUCAUCUUAUUUAUUCAUUCACUGUUUUUCACUGUUUGUAACUGUCUAGUCUCAUCUUGGUUAUAUUUUAAAAAAUCAUUUUCCUUCUGUGAAUUAAACAGUACAAUGUAGUUACCAUAUUGUGUUUCACCUGUUAAACCCAUCAUGUAAUAGCACUACAGAGAUU